rnacentral:rRNA from 1 species
UUAUUGCUCUUGAACGAGGAAUCCCUAGUAAGCACAAGUCACUAGCUUGUGCUGAUUACGUCCCUGCCCUUUGUACACACCGCCCGUCGCUACUACCGAUUGAAUGGCUUAGUGAGGCCCUCGGAUCGGAGGUGUAUUCUGGAAACAGAUCUCGCUUUCGAGAAGUUGGUCAAACUUGGUCAUUUAGAGGAAGUAAAAGUCGUAACAAGGUUUCCGUAGGUGAACCUGCGGAAGGAUCAUUACCAAUCUUCAGUGAGCCUGGACUUGUCCAUGGUCUCGCGAAAUUUUGUAUUUAAAACCUACUCAUAAUUAUAAAAAAAAUGUAUCAAUGAUAGAACUUUAAGAUCACUUUCAACAACGGAUCUCUUGGCUCUCGCAUCGAUGAAGAACGUAGCGAAGUGCGAUAAGUAAUGUGAAUUGCAGAAUCCGUGAAUCAUCGAAUCUUUGAACGCAAAUUGCACUUCCUGGUAUUCCGGGGAGUAUGCCUGUUUGAGGGUCGUUUUAAAUUAAAUCGAUGUGUUGUUUUUUUCGUGAUGACACGUCGGAGUUGGGUUAUCUUAGCUUUUUUAGUUAAGAGACCUAAAAUUGACUUUUUUUUGCGCAUUCUAGACGUGUAAUUUUUUUUUAUCUGUCUCGUUAUGCUCAAAUGACUUCAUUAGGUGCGGUCAUGUUCAAUGUGAUCUCGUGCCUAUGAUUCUCGUUUUUCGACCUCAAAUCAGGUAGGGAUACCCGCUGAACUUAAGCAUAUCAAUAAGCGGAGGAAAAGAAAAUAACCAUGAUUCCCCUAGUAACUGCGAGUGAAGAGGGAAGAGCUCAAAUUUUAAAUCUGUUAGGUUUACCUGACCGAGUUGUAAUUUGAAGAGGCGUUUUCCGCGCGUUCCGGUUAGCCCAAGUCCCUUGGAAUUGGGCAUCAUGGAGGGUGAGAAUCCCGUUCGGUUGACCGGUUGCGUUUACGAUACGUUUUCAAAGAGUCAGGUUGUUUGGGAUUGCAGCUUAAAAUGGGAGGUAAAUUUCUCCUAAGGCUAAAUAUUGGCGAGAGACCGAUAGCGAACAAGUACCGUGAGGGAAAGAUGAAAAGCAUUUUGAAAAGAAAGUCAAAUAGCACGUGAAAUUGUUGAAAGGGAAACGAUUGAAGUCAGUCGUACCGAUGGACAUUCAACCCCUCAGGCGUGAUCGUGUUGGGAGUGGGAAGAACUCACCCUGUCAUUGUUCGUGUCCCUGUGGCGUACUUGCUCGUAUGGUAGGUUAACAUCAAUUUUGGUCGUCAUAAAAUGACGGGAGGAAAGUAGCUUCCCCGGAAGUGUUAUAACCUCUGGUAGAUGUGAUGAUUGAGAUUGAGGAUUGCAACGAAUACCUUCGGGCUACCUGCCUGAUCUCAGGUUGUCGCUCUGGUGCUGAAAGCGUGCUUAUGGUUUCAGAGUCUGGCGGUCAAAAGGUUAGAACGGGUUAAAUUCGUUAAGGAUGUUGACGUAAUGACUUUAAACGACCCGUCUUGAAACACGGACCAAGGAGUCUAACAUAUGUGCGAGUGUUUA